AAACUAUUUAGUCCAUGUCCUCCAUAGAGGUAAAAGGUUUCUUGGAGAUGUCUGGUCACUAAUAUAUCUUGUGGAGACCUUGACCUUCCUGAUUCUGCUGGUCACACUGUUGUCUUCAGGUUAUCCCUUGAUGGUGGCAUGACAAGCAACAACCAUCUCCUCUGAUGUGUCCAGAAGGAGGAAGAGAAGCAUGAUCCCCCUAUUGGAACCCUGAGGCAUUGCAAACAGAUCAACGAACAAUUAACCCACACAGAAGAUGAUCUGCAUCACCUAACUGCAUUCCCCUUCUUGUAUCACUGGCUGCGUAGUCCUAACAGUGACCGCAUCUCUCUCCAACAAGCAUGGUACAAUCAACAAGAAGAUGCUUUUGUAGGAGCAGUACAGUCUAGAUUCAAUGACUGGGGUAAAGCUAGGAGGACAGUGUUGGUAAUACAUUACGUUUGACAAUAAAGGUCAUGAUAAUUUGUUA